CUCUUUACUAGUCUAGAUUUCUGAAAACUUUUCAAAACUGUGUCUACCGUCGUGGCAUCAUGUGACCUACGCUUUAGCAGCUCUUCUGCGGCGACGGCCCCCUGACUGGACCUCCUCAUCAGGUUCAGGACCUGGUUCCUCUUCAUUCGGCUCGUUGUCAACGGAUCAUUUGUAGCAGACAGACAUGUUCAGCGGCACACCUGGCACAAGGUCUGACUGAAACUUCCUCUUGGGCCAGUCCUUCGGCAGCUCAUUGUUGGCGAUCUCAGCCAGGUGGAAGUUGGCCACCUGUGCAGAGGCGCGCUGCACUCUGCCGCUGGGCGUCCGCUCUGGGUUAGCCUCCAUCUGGGCCUUCAGGGCCUCGUCCUCUUCAGGCUUCUGGGGCGUCUGGAAGAAACGAGUGGAAGUCUUGAUCAAAAUGCAACAUUAGCAGUGGUACUCCAGACCAGCCUUGGAUUUAUACGCUUUCCCACAGUGGGAGCAAUUCAGCAGCAACUUCUCCAGCUCAGACUCUUCCUUCCCACACUUCUUCAUGUGGUACACAUAUCCCAUGAUGCUGGUGAAGGCAGCAGUGCAGC